rnacentral:lncRNA from 1 species
GUGAAUAAAAUAUUAGGAUACGAUGGUUGUUGUGCUGCUCCUACAGCUAUCUGCCUGCUCGUCGAUAACUUUCGACAACGAAUUCUCGAAGGAAAUUCUGCCUGAUCCAUACAGCUGGCCAUUUUUGUCCCCGGAGGUGACCGAGAAGAUGAAGAGUAUUGGAUGGACCAGUAUAUGGGAGAAGGUUCCAGCUAUUUUCUCGAGGAAGACCCACCAGAGGCGAGUGAUUCAUCCUCGAUGACGCAAGAUGAACGAAACG